GCAGAGAAUCGUCGCGUCUUCGUAUUUAUCCUUGUCCCUAGUUGCAUUGGGAUCUUCAUCCUUCUACUGUGGGUGUUCAUGAGGUGGAAGAGG